rnacentral:rRNA from 1 species
GGGAGUCAGACUGUACGAGAUAAGUUGGACAGUCAAAAGGGAAAGAGCCCAGACCGCCGGCUAAGGUCCCAAAGUGGGUGUUAAGUGGAAAAGGAUGUGGGAUCUCUAAGACAACCAGGAUGUUGGCUCAGAAGCAGCCAUUCAUUAAAAGAGUGCGUAACAGCUCACUGGUCGAGAGGUCCUGCGCCGAAAAUGUCCGGGGCUGAAACACCACACCGAAGCCGCGGAACCCGUAAGGGUUGGUAGAGGAGCAUUCUUAGGGGAGUGAAGCAUUACCGGAAGGGGAUGUGGACCGCUAAGAAGAGAGAAUGCCGGAAUGAGUAGCGAGAGCAAGGUGAGAAUCCUUGCGGCCGAAUAUCCAAGGUUUCCAGAGUAAAGCUGAUCUGCUCUGGGUAAGUCGGGGCCUAAGGAGAGGCAGAGAUGCGUAUCCGAUGGACAGCAGGUUUAAGAUUCCUGCACCCCUUGUUAUCAGAACUGCGGGGACACGGGAAGGGAAGCAGAGCCGGGAAUGGAAAGCCCGGUGCAAGCGAAGGAGUCGCAGGGUUGGAAAAUCCGCCCUGCAUGAGACGAAGGCGUGAUGCGGAGCGAAAUGAAGUAGUGAAGCUGCGGCCCCUUCCUGUCGAGAAAAGCCGCUAUCGUGUAGCAAGGGCCCGUACCGUAAACCGACACAGGUGGAUGAGGAGAGGAUCCUAAGGCCGGCGGGAGAAGUGUUGUUAAGGAACUCGGCAAAAUGACUCCGUAACUUCGGGAGAAGGAGUGCUGCGCAAGCAGCCGCAGAGAAAUGGCCCAAGCAACUGUUUAGCAAAAACACAGGUCUAUGCGAAACCGAAAGGUGAGGUAUAUGGGCUGACGCCUGCCCGGUGCUGGAAGGUUAAGGGGAGAGCUUAGCGCGAGCGAAGGUUUGAACUUAAGCCCCAGUAAACGGCGGCCGUAACUAUAACGGUCCUAAGGUAGCGAAAUUCCUUGUCGGGUAAGUUCCGACCCGCACGAAAGGCGUAAUGAUUUGGGCACUGUCUCAACAACACACCCGGUGAAAUUGAAAUACCAGUGAAGAUGCUGGUUACCCGCGCCAGGACGGAAAGACCCCAUGGAGCUUUACUCCAGCCUGAUACUGGGAUUCGGUAUUGCAUGUACAGGAUAGGUGGGAGGCUAAGAACUCAUGGCGCCAGCCGUGAGGGAGCCGAUGUUGGGAUACCACCCCUGCAGUACUGGGUUUCUAACCUGCGCCCGUGACCCGGGCGGGGGACAAUGUCAGGCGGGGAGUUUGACUGGGGCGGUCGCCUCCGAAAGGGUAUCGGAGGCGCUCAAAGGUUCCCUCAGAAUGGUUGGAAACCAUUCGAAGAGUGCAAAGGCAGAAGGGAGCUUGACUGCGACACCGACGGGUGGAGCAGGUACGAAAGUAGGACUUAGUGAUCCGGUGGCAUAAAGUGGGAUUGCCAUCGCUCAACGGAUAAAAGCUACCCUGGGGAUAACAGGCUUAUCACUCCCAAGAGUUCACAUCGACGGAGUGGUUUGGCACCUCGAUGUCGGCUCAUCGCAUCCUGGAGCUGGAGCAGGUUCCAAGGGUUGGGCUGUUCGCCCAUUAAAGCGGUACGCGAGCUGGGUUCAGAACGUCGUGAGACAGUUCGGUCCCUAUCCGGCGCGGGCGCAGGAUAUCUGAGAGGAGCUGUCCUUAGUACGAGAGGACCGGGAUGGACCGUCCGCUGGUGGACCGGUUGUCAUGCCAAUGGCACGGCCGGGUAGCCAAGACGGGAAGGGAUAAACGCUGAAGGCAUCUAAGCGUGAAGCCCCCCUCAAGAUGAGAUAUCCAUACUCGAAAGAGUGAGAGACCCCUUAGAGACGAUGAGGUAGAUAGGGCAGGGAUGGAAGUGCAGCGAUGCAUGGAGUUGACUGUUACUAAUCGGUCGAAAGCUUGACCU